GAGAGUACAGCAGCAGCAUCGCUAAUAUUGACAUUACACCGGAAGGGAGAGAGGCCGAGCUGGAACGAAUUGAAACGAUAGAGUAUUAGAUUGCUAGAGUGGAGGAAAGGAGGACAGAGGUAGUUCCUCUUCGGGCUGACCCGCGGGAGGUUGAUGGCGUCGGCAGAGCCUCUUGUGCUGCUUGGAGGGUCGAAGCGGCUCCUGGGAGACAAAGAGGAUGGCAAUAAAAGCACUCUGGAAAACUGAGAAUAACAAGCAACAUUGG